rnacentral:pre_miRNA from 1 species
AGUGCAAUUGGUGGAUCAUAUGGUAAGAUUAUGUUCAGUUUUGUGAGAAAUCACCAAACUGUUUUCCAAAGUGGCUGUACCAUUUUGCAUUACCAUUAGCGAU